rnacentral:tRNA from 1 species
GAGGGUAUAGCUCAGUGGUAAAGUGCAUGCUUAGCAUGCGUGAGGUCCUGGGCUCAAUUUCCAGUACUGCCA